rnacentral:rRNA from 1 species
GGUCAAGUCGAAAAAGGGUGUACGGUGGAUGCCUUGGCACCAGAAGGCGAUGAAGGGCGUGGUUAACUGCGAUAAUCUUUGGGGAGCCGUAAGCAGGCUUUGAUCCAGGGGUGCCCGAAUGGGGAAACCUACCAUAGCAAACCUAUGGUAUCCUUACCUGAACAAAAUAGGGUAAGGAGGCGAGACGGGGGGAACUGAAACAUCUAAUUACCCCCAGGAAGAGAAAGUAAUAACGAUUCCCCAAGUAGCGGUGAGCGAAAAGGGAAGAGCCUAAACGGUAAUGAGCGUGAUAGUCGGUAGACGUUGCUCUUGCCGGGUCGUGGGACCUGAUGUGAUUCUGCUACCGCAAGAAUCAAAGAGUUAGCAAGUCUUUUUCUAGCCGAAAUGAUAUUGGAAAAGUCUACCCUAGAUGGUGAUAGUCCAGUAAGCGAAAGAAAAAGACCUCUUGAUCAGGCACCCGAGUAUCAUGGGAUAAGGGAAGCCCUGUGAGAAUUUAGGAGGACCACCUCCUAAGGCUAAAUACUAACUGGUGACCGAUAGUGAACUAGUACCGUGAGGGAAAGGUGAAAAGUACCCCGGAAGGGGAGUGAAAUAGUACCUGAAACCGUAUACCUACAAGCAGUGGGAGCACUAUUUUUUAAGAUUUAUCUUAAGAAAGUGUGACCGCGUGCCUUUUGUAAAAUGAGCCGGCGAGUUACUGAUACCUAGCGAGGUUAAGCAGCAGCUGCUGCGGAGCCGUAGCGAAAGCGAGUCUGAAAUUGGGCGAUUUUAGUUAGGUGUCGUAGACCCGAAACCGAGUGAUCUAACCAUGGCCAGGGUGAAACAGGUCUGAUCGCCUGUGGAGGCCCGAACCCACUUAUGUUGAAAAAUGAGGGGAUGAGCUGUGGUUAGGGGUGAAAGGCCAAUCAAACUCGGAGAUAGCUGGUUCUCCUCGAAAUAGCUUUAGGGCUAGCCUCAAAUGUUUACCUAUGGAGGUAGAGCACUGAAUGGACUAAGGGCCCCACCAGGUUACUGAACCCAAUCAAACUCCGAAUGCCAUAGGUUAAUAGUUUGGGAGUCAGACUGCGGGGGAUAAGCUUCGUAGUCAAAAGGGAAACAGCCCAGACCAGCAGCUAAGGUCCCCAAGUGCAAGCUAAGUGUGAAAGGAAGUAGAAUUACCUAGACAGCCAGGAUGUUGGCUCAGAGGCAGCCAUCAUUUAAAAAGUGCGUAACAGCUUACUGGUCAAGUGAUUCUGCACCGAAAAUGUACGGGGCUAAAGUUUGCCACCGAAGCUCUGGAUCCAGAAUUUAUUCUGGGUGGUAGAGGAGCGUUCCUUUAUGGGAUGAAGGGUAACCGUAAGGAUGCCUGGACUAAAAGGAAGUGAGAAUGCCGGCAUUAGUAACGAUAAGGAGAGUGAGAAUCUCUCCCGCCGAAAACCUAAGGUUUCCUGGGGAAGGCAAAUCCGCCCAGGGUUAGUCGGAACCUAAGCCGAGGCCGAAAGGCGUAGGUGAUGGACGACCGGUUAAUAUUCCGGUACUACCAGAUUAUCGCUUUAAGUGAUGGGGGGACGCAGGAAGGUAGGUCAGCACGAUAAAAGUUACGUGUCCAAACCUGAUAAGGGAAGAGACAGGAAAAUCCGUCUCUUAUUCAAACCCUAAGAGGUGAUAGGGAGCUGCUAUGGCAGCGAACUGAUCGAUCCUACACUGCCGAGAAAAUCCUCUAAACAAGAUAACCUGGUAUCCGUACUAAAACCGACACAGGUAGGUAGGUAGAGAAUACCAAGGCGCUCGAGUUCACCCUCGUUAAGGAACUCGGCAAAAUGACUCCGUAACUUCGGGAGAAGGAGUGCCCCGGUAGGGUGACCCAAUUUACUUGGUUAGCCCGAGGGGGUUGCAAAGAAACGGCCCAAGCGACUGUUUACUAAAAACACAGGUCUCUGCUAAAUCGAAAGAUGAUGUAUAGGGACUGACGCCUGCCCGGUGCUGGAAGGUUAAGGAAGGGGGUCACUCCUCAAGCAAUUGAGGGGGAAGCUCUUGACCGAAGCCCCAGUAAACGGCGGCCGUAACUAUAACGGUCCUAAGGUAGCGAAAUUCCUUGUCGGGUAAGUUCCGACCCGCACGAAUGGCGUAACGAUUUGGGCACUGUCUCAACGAGGGACUCGGUGAAGUUG